rnacentral:rRNA from 1 species
UACGGGGGGGGCAAGCGUUGUUCGGAAUUACUGGGCGUAAAGCGCACGUAGGCGGCUUUGUAAGUUAGAGGUGAAAGCCCGGGGCUCAACCCCGGAAUUGCCUUUAAAACUGCAUCGCUAGAAUUGUGGAGAGGUGAGUGGAAUUCCGAGUGUAGAGGUGAAAUUCGUAGAUAUUCGGAAGAACACCAGUGGCGAAGGCGACUCACUGGACACAUAUUGACGCUGAGGUGCGAAAGCGUGGGGAGCAAACAGG